CUCUCGAGCACUCCUCUCUGAGACACAUAAUGCAAAGGUAAUGUGUGUCCUCAGGUGUCAAAUAUCAAUGGCUCCUGAAGACAAAAAAGCUGAUGUCGUGCAUUACAGGUGCCCCUUUAUACUCCAGGCACUUUGCUAAUGACAUCACAGGGUGCGUGUUCACACAUGCUUCAGACACCGGUCAUGCUGAUGGCAUUCCUCAAAGUGUCCCCUAGGGGUGCAGUGUUGAGUUUCUUAGAAGGGGAACAAUUAACAUUUUUUUUUAUUUCUUUGCACUUUUCUAGUCAUUUUCCCAUAACAAAAUAAAUGAAAAAUUAAUUUUCUAGUUUCUGCAUGUUCUAAUGGGUGAUAUUGUUUCAAAUCAUGAAACAGGUUUGUGUUGCCUGACUUUGAUGACGAUUAUCUUCAUUACAGUUUGCAGUGCAGGCUGCAAUAUCAAUAUUUUUUUUUCUCUUAGAAAUGAUCUGGACUCUUUUGCUUCCAUGUUCUGUAUCUGUAUUUUUAAGACAGAAGAAGACAUGAGCUAACCAACAGUCAACCAUGUCUGUGUCACCUGGAAGAGCAUCAUAGAAGGUUCUGUUUAGAUGGUGUUUCAUCAAAAGAGCUCACAACAGAGGAGAACCUUGUUUCACACUGAGUGCAAAUUGGCUUAGUUAUGAGGAAAUGGAAGAAAAUUACAUUUUUAAAUUACGUUGACAUCACUUAAGGCUUACCGUGGACGACUGAAUAAGGUGACGUCAUCACAGCGUCUUGAGCAGAACCACUUUAUGAGCAAACGUGGAAAGAAGCUAACAAAUAUAUCUACAAAGUAUGAUAAUUCUUCAUUUUGCUGUAAAAUUAAGGUUUAAUCCUCAUUGUUCAAGCUUAGUGAUUCUUUUGUUGUUUUGAAUAUCAGAAAAUGACAUCACUGUUUUAGUAUGCAUGCAUGUCAGAGAAUGUGUUUGAGAAUUGAGUGGCAUGAUUUUAAAUGUAAGAUGAGAUUCUGUGUGUUGCGCUAAAGGAAGGUACAGUUCCCUCUCUCCUGGCAGAGGGUGUGAAACAAAUGCACGCGGGGGAUGCAUGAGGUGGUAUGUGGCAGACUGCUGGUCUCUUAGCAACAGCACAUGUACAUGAGAGAUGAGAGAUGAAUUCUCUCUUCAAAGUAAUAUAUCUUACAGUCAUUGAUGUGAUGAUAUCACCUUUAAAAAGAGAUAUAAUGCUGGUAAGUAAAAGAGGGAUUUCCUUGUCUAAACUCAGAUCACUCACAAGUGCUAAACGGCUGUCCUAACCUAACCCCAAUAUUAUGAACAGCAACUGUGAAAUUUUAAUCAAAGCAAAAGAUACUCCAUGUUUGAGUGAUAUUGUGACGCAGAAGGUUCUUGAUCCCUGUGUAAUGACAUUGUAAAAAAGGAUAUUUCACACAAAAGUAAAAAUCCUGUCAACAUUUAAUUGCCUUCAUGUCAUUGAAAACCUGUGUUAUUUUCUGUGGAAC
ensembl:lncRNA